CUGCCGCCCGCGUGCGCCCGCCCGAGGUCGGGAGCCGCCCCGCAGGCCCCCAGGACAGGCUCCGGGACCACGAGGGACUGCGGAGACCGCCUGCGCACGCUAACAUGAAAAUGCUACUCCUGCUUUAGUGGCCUCCAGAAGACACUCCCCUGAUUCCCACACCGAGGGAACACAUAUCAGCAAGCUAGGAAAGAAGAGGUGACCCAGCCCAGCGCUCUAAACCAGGGCGCGAACAGGCGUUAAGCUGCGCAGCUGCGCCCUGGGCUCCGGUCCUGCUCUGCUGCAGACCCCACCGGAGCCAGCACCUGCCUCCCAGACCCUUGCUGGGGGGGCUGUGAGAUGAGCCCAGAGCCUUCCUGAGCCAACCCUCGCAAGGAAAGUCUGUCUGUUCAUCCCACUACCUGCUUGUCUAGAAGGAUGGAGAAGAGAGGGCCCCCCCCCCCGGGUGGUCCCAAAAGGUGGAAUGGACAUCUGGGAUCCAAGCAUAGCACUUUCUUUCUUUUUCUUAAGGGACACACAGGAAUCUGGGGGAUAUUAUGGUUCUGGGAAUGUGGAACGUAACCUCUCAUCUUCAGCCCGUCUGUGCUACUGACCGUCUCAUUCAGGAAGCCACGCCUUCGCUCAGGAGCAGACUGCACAAGGCACAGUCCCCAGAUAAAAUUGCUCUACUGAAGAUCCCUAGUAUUUUUGCUAAGUUCAUCAGCUUCUUCCGGACAUCUCCUUAAUAGUUGAUUCAUCAUCUAAAUAUUUAGAAACACUCUAUGUGAUGUCAAUGACCACUGUGUUAGAUGCCAAGAAAACCAAGAGAAAGGGAAGCCUGGUGUGGGAAUAAAGUGUAAACAGACCCUCCUUGCAACAUGGUAUGUGAAGAGCUGUGAUAGCAUGUCAUUUCGGGAGUACAGGAAGUGUUCACAAUUACCUUCGCUUUGGUUUCCGUCACACUAGUUUCUGCUCCACCUCUCUUAUUACCCCUCCAGUUUCCUCUGCUCCUUCAUGCCAUCCACUUAUCUCUUAAGUACAGGCAUUCUCGAUGGCUGAGUCACUCCUUGCAGUUGAUUAAGUCAGAGUUUUCCUAGUUUUGUGACUUUUUAAGAGUUGACUGCUUUUCUUAAAAUUACUUUCAAAUUAUAGAAGCUGGAAAUUCCAAAAACUCUUUAAGCAGCUAUCCUCUAAUAUUACAAAAGGAGUCAUUUUGACUCCUAUUUUGGGCUAAUUUUAUUUUAUCCAUAUGUAACAUAUGCCCUCAAAACAUCUAGCAUAAACCGGAGCCAGAAUAAGGCAACUGUCCAUGAUUUAAAACAACUCGAAACAUUCUAAACAUUGAUCUCAAAUAAAUUCCUAAUGGCAUAUCACAUUGUGAAAAGGCAAGUCACUGAGCACCUGAUCUCCAAACAGACCAGAAAUUAAGUUCAAAACCAAAAAUGCAGAGACUUAUCAGUUAUGCAAAAGUCAAGACAAGUCAUCUGAGGAUCUGUAAGUCAAUUGCUAUCUUCUGCCCCCCUUCCAAGUUUUGCUGUAUGUCCAUGAUAACUAUCCUCCUGUUCUCAGCUUUUCCUUGCCAAAGCUCUCGGGAAGAAAGAUUUAAUGGAGCAGAUCUGUUUGCUCAGUCCCUAAAUCUUUCCAGAACCCGGAACCAUGGUGGAAUCUGGGCCAACCCCUGCAUAUAUGGCGACUACAAUAUUCUACGUAUCAUUGGUGAGGUGUAUAAACCUGGGGCAAUGGAGCAUGUUAAAUCAACUUGUCAAGACUUCUCAGGAUUGUUUAGCCAGAUCCACGACUUCCUUGGUUGCAUUGUUGGGGUCCUGAGUUUCAGUUCCAAUAGCUGGUUACAUAGAAGCAUGUGCGUAAAUGACCAGCCCUGUAUAAAGCCUCAGACUCUAAGACUCAAAUGGACCUUCCUAUGCAAACACAUUCCAACUAUGUCCCUGUAGUUCACUGCUAGAGAGAAAGUACAACCUGUGAGGCCUGGGAUGGAGAAGGACUCAGGGCCUGUGUCUGGACUCUCUGGACUCUGGUGAUAUAUAUAUGUCAUUACCCUGCUGUUUCUGUUCUGUAUCCUUUACUCUAAUAAACCCUAGCCAUGAGUAUAGCUGGC